AGCUGCCCGGUGUCCACCCUGAGCCCUGCCCCUCCUUGACGCUCAGUGAGGACGCCCGCUUCCUGCUGAUUGCCGCCGGCCGGACCAUCAAGGUGUGGGACUACGCCACACAGGCCAGCCCAGGCCCCCAGGUGUACAUCGGCCACUCGGAACCCGUGCAGGCUGUGGCCUUCUCUCCUGACCAGCAGCAGGUCCUCAGCGCAGGGGACGCCGUCUUCCUCUGGGAUGUCCUGGCCCCUACUGAGAGGCAAGUGCCUACUCUCAGCUGUGUCUGCCUAGGCCCCCCAGGCCCUCCUGAAACCCUCUCUCCUCCCUCUCCAGCGACCAAAGCUUCCC
rnacentral:lncRNA from 1 species